rnacentral:rRNA from 1 species
AAAAUUUAUUACUAUAAACUAAUUAAUUUUUCAAAAAAUUAUUAAAAUAUAAAAAGUUUAUUAAAUUAAAAAUAAAUAAUAUUUAAAUAAAAAAGAAAUUAUAAAAUAUAAAUAUAAAUAAAAAAAUUAAAUAUUUUUACCUUUUGUAUCAGGGAUAAUUAAAAAAUAAUUUUAUUAAAAAAUCUCGAAAAAAAAAAAAUUAAAUAUAAAAUCCUAUUAUUGUAGAAAUAAUAUUAAAAAUUUAUAUUUAGAAACUAAAAAUUAACCAAUUUUUUUGAUAUCUAGUUACUUAAUAAAAUAAUUCAAUUAAUAAAUAAAUAUUAAAAUUUAUAUAAAUAAAUAUAUAUAAAUUUAAAUUUAUAUAAAAAAAUUAAGGGAUAAACUUUAAUUUUUUAAUUAAAAUAAAUAAAUUAUGUUAUUAAUUACAUAAAUAUAAAAAUAUUUAAUGUUUAUAAAAAUUUAAUAAUUUAAUUAAUUAAACCCUAUAAUUUAAAAAAAUUUUAAUUUACUUAUUAAGUUAAUUUAAAUAAUAAAAAAUUAAAAAUAAUAAUGAUUAUAUUAGUAAAUAAAAAUUUUAAAAAUAAAUAUAUUUAAUAAAGAUUUUAUUAAUGAAUUUAGCAAAAUUUAUGUUCACCUGUUUAAUAAAAACAUGUCUUAUUGAAAAUAAUAUUAAGUCAAAUCUGCCCAUUGAUAAAUUUAAAAGGCUGCAGUAUAAAUAACUGUACAAAGGUAGCAUAAUAAUUAGUUUUAUAAUUGAAAUCUAGUAUGAAAGAUUUAAUGAAACAUAAACUAUAUAAAUAAAAAUAAAAAUUUAAAUUAAAUUUUAAGUUAAAAUUCUUAAGUUUAAUUAAAAGACGAGAAGACCCUUUAGAAUUUAAUAUAUAAAUUAAUUAAUAUUUAAUUUAAUAAAAUAAUAAAUAAAUAUAUAUAUUUAAUUGGGGUAAUUUUAAAAUUAAAUAAACUUUUAAACAUAAAUCCAUUAAUUAAUGUAUUAAUAAACCUAAAUUUUAGAAUUUUAAAAUAAAUUACCUAAGGGAUAACAGCGUAAUUUUUUUUGAUAGCCCAUAUAUAUAAAAAAGUUUGCGACCUCGAUGUUGAAUUAAGAAUAAAUUAAAAGCAAAAAUUUAAUAAUUUAAGUCUGUUCGACUUUUAAAAUCUUACAUGAUUUGAGUUAAGAUCGGUGUAAGCCAGAUCGGAUUCUAUCUUUAAUAUAAUAAUAUAUAAUUGUACGAAAGGAAUUUAUAUUUAAAAUAAUUUUUCAUAAUAUAAUAAUUAAUAUAUUA